GAGCCAGACGUUGGCCUGCUCCACCAGAGACAGAUCACCUCCGUCUCUCGACAGGACGAAGGUCACGAGGCCCGGAGACGCACCUGAGACACAGAGGGGGGCGGGGUCAGUACUGCUCUCUGAUUGGCUGGCAGGGAAGUGAGUCUGGAGAACGAGCCUGCGAGCCUCCACAGAGGGCGUCGACAACCCACUCUCACAUCACAGUUUCACCGUCAUUGGUUCGUAGAGAAACCUCAGGUCACGUGACUCCACACGAUGUUGCAGGUGACGCAUGAAGGUGUAAUGUGGCGUGGCCGUGUGGUCCCCUCAGUGAGGACUGUAAGGCUGAAGUCACGCUCCCACAUCCUGAGAGGCGACGCCCCGCUCGGCCUUAUUGGCAGCACAUGUGACACGUGACACUAAAUCUGUGUCACGCCGUGGAGCGGCCGGUCGAGCGGCGGAGAGGCCUCGCCACUCGGUUUUGGGAGGAUCAAAGAGUACGAGCACGACGUCACGUCCAGACGCCGGAUCCAUCAGACUGACAUCACACGACUCCUCGGCGCAAUCGCAGGGAACCUGGUGGACAAAUGUCCCUUCUCUAACGUGGUCAGACCUCACACUCACGUGAUGUCUGGAACUAGUUUGUCCGUAGCACCAACGACUUUAAGAUUAUUUUAUUUUUCCUUGAAAUAAGUAACAAGUAAGAAAGUGGUAUGUGAACGUGUUAACGACGUCGUGGCCGUGGGAGUCGAGCGCCUCUGACUCUGAUAUGUUUCUGUUCUGUGUGUUUAUGCUCUGAGGUUGUUCUGUGGUAUUUUUAUCACUUCGUCAGAAUGAAACUGUGACCGUCGUCCGGCUGUCGGGACCAAAUAAAACUGUAGCUGUGAAGAAUUC